rnacentral:misc_RNA from 1 species
AAGUCGUAACAAGGUUUCCGUAGGUGAACCUGCGGAAGGAUCAUUAACACGUUUCAAAACGUUUUCUGAACCCCUUUAUUUUCUGUGCACCCCUCGAAACCCGGCCUCCCGAGCCGUCCACUGGGUUUACUCAGUGCUGACCUGUUCGGGCGUUUUUUCUUGGAGGGCGAGUGUGGUGAAGGAACUUCAUUGUUCUCUCUCCCUCUCUGCCACCUUGAGAAGGCGUUGCCACAACCACAACCCUUUAAUCUAAUUGUCUGAACUCUUUAGUUGGAACGUAAAAAUUUCAACGAUUUUCAAAUCAAUAACAACUCUUAACAACGGAUAUCUUGGUUCUC